AGAGUUUGAUCCUGGCUCAGGAUGAACGCUGGCGGCGUGCCUAACACAUGCAAGUCGAACGGACAUAAUUUGAAACCUAGUGAGAAUUAUGUUAGUGGCGGACGGGUGAGUAACGCGUGGGUAACCUGCCCCAUACCGGGGGAUACCAGCCGGAAACGGCUGCUAAUACCGCAUAAGCGCACAGCUUUGCAUGAAGCAGUGUGAAAAACUCCGGUGGUAUGGGAUGGACCCGCGUCCGAUUAGCCAGUUGGCGGGGUAGAGGCCCACCAAAGCGACGAUCGGUAGCCGGCCUGAGAGGGCGGACGGCCACAUUGGGACUGAGACACGGCCCAAACUCCUACGGGAGGCAGCAGUGGGGAAUAUUGCACAAUGGGGGAAACCCUGAUGCAGCGACGCCGCGUGAGUGAAGAAGUCAUUCGUGAUGUAAAGCUCUAUCAGCAGGGAAGAAAAUGACGGUACCUGACUAAGAAGCCCCGGCUAACUACGUG
rnacentral:rRNA from 1 species